GGGCUGGGUUGGGCUGGGUGGGAGUCAGGCAGGCUCAGUUGCAAGCCCUGCUGAAAGCAGUCUGGGCUCCAUGGUUGGCAGCAGCUCCCAGAGCCUGGGCCGGUUGCAGCCAGUAGGCUGCAAACAGUUGCUUCGGGCUCCAGCA